rnacentral:rRNA from 1 species
UACGGGGGGGGCAAGCGUUGUUCGGAAUUACUGGGCGUAAAGGGCUCGUAGGUGGCCAACUAAGUCAGACGUGAAAUCCCUCGGCUUAACCGGGGAACUGCGUCUGAUACUGGAUGGCUUGAGGUUGGGAGAGGGAUGUGGAAUUCCAGGUGUAGCGGUGAAAUGCGUAGAUAUCUGGAGGAACACCGGUGGCGAAGGCGGCAUCCUGGACCGGUAUUGACGCUGAGGCGCGAAAGCUAGGGGAGCAAACGGGG